AGCUUUGUGCAGUGGCAGUAUUGUAGCUAAUGAGGUUUAUCCGAGGCGUGAUUGUUGCUAAUAGAAAACUUUUCCCAACACCCUGCAAUGAUGACUUACAAUAUAGUUGGCAUUGGCAAUUUUUGAUGGUCCCUAUGGGGA